GAUGAAGAACGUAGUGAAAUGCGAUACGUAAUGUGAAUUGCAAAUUCAGUGAAUCAUCGAGUCUUUGAACGCACAUUGCGCCCCCUGGUAUUCCGGGGGGCAUGCCUGUCCGAGCGUCAUUGCUGCCCUCAAGCACGGCUUGUGUGUUGGGCCCCGUCCUCCGAUCCCGGGGGACGGGCCCGAAAGGCAGCGGCGGCACCGCGUCCGGUCCUCGAGCGUAUGGGGCUUUGUCACCCGCUCUGUAGGCCCGGCCGGCGCUUGCCGAUCAACCCAAAUUUUUAUCCAGGUUGACCUCGAAUCAGGUAGGAAUACCCGCUGAACUUAAGCAUAUCAAUAAGCGGAGGA
rnacentral:misc_RNA from 1 species